UACAUGGGGUGCAAACGUUGCUCGGAAUUAUUGGGCGUACAGCGCACGUAGGCGGUUUGUUAAGUCGGAUGUGAAAUCCCUCGGCUCAACUGAGGAAGUGCAUCCGAAACUGGCAAGCUUGAGUACGAAAGAGGGUCGCGGAAUUCCCGGUGUAGAGGUGAAAUUCGUAGAUAUCGGGAGGAACACCGGUGGCGAAGGCGGCGACCUGGGUCGAUACUGACGCUGAGGUGCGAAAGCGUGGGGAGCAAACAGG
rnacentral:rRNA from 1 species